rnacentral:rRNA from 1 species
GAUGAAUGCUGGCGGCGUGCCUAAUACAUGCAAGUCGAGCGGUAACAGGGAGUUCCACAGUUUCCUUGACACACCUAGCGCUUUAUCGUAGGUUGUUGACUUCGAGGGAACCGUGGAAUUCUGCUGACGAGCGGCGGACGGCUGAGUAACACGUGGGAACGGACCCCAAACUGAGGGAUAACUAGUCGAAAGAUUAGCUAAUACCGCAUAUGAUCUUCGGAUUAAAGCUUUCGGGCGGUUUGGGACUGGCCUGCGCACGAUUAGAUAGUUGGUGAGGUAACGGCUCACCAAGUCGACGAUCGUUAGAUGGUUUGAGAAGAUGAUCAUCCAGACUGGGACUGAGACACGGCCCAGACUCC